GAUGAAGAACGUAGCGAAAUGCGAUAAGUAAUGUGAAUUGCAGAAUUCAGUGAAUCAUCGAAUCUUUGAACGCACAUUGCGCCCCCUGGUAUUCCGGGGGGCAUGCCUGUUCGAGCGUCAUUUCAACCCUCAAGCCUGGCUUGGUGUUGGGGCUCUGCGUCUGCAGUCCCUUAAAUCCAGUGGCGGACACGCUAGGUCUCCGAGCGCAGUAGUUUCUCCUCGCUCAGGGCGUCCGGCGUGGGCUUGCCUCGCACCCAUCUUUUACAAGGUUGACCUCGGAUCAGGUAGGAAUACCCGCUGAACUUAAGCAUAUCAAUAAGCGGAGGA
rnacentral:misc_RNA from 1 species